rnacentral:lncRNA from 1 species
GCGUGUCGGAGUUCAUCAGCUUCAUCACGGGGGAGGCCUCCGACAAGUGCCAGCGCGAGAAGCGCAAGACCGUCAACGGCGACGACCUCCUCUGGGCCAUGACCACCCUCGGCUUCGAGGACUACGUCGACCCCCUCAAGCUCUACCUCCAAAAGUUCCGGGAGAUCGAAGGCGACAAAGCUGGAACUGUUACUGGUGGUAUUGGUGCCGGUGCCGGUGCUGGUGCUGGUGCUGGACCUGCUCCUUCAGCAGCAGGGAUUAAUGGCACCAGGGGAGAGAGAAUAUGAUGGUGAUGAUGAUGAUGGUGGUGGUGGUGGUGGUGGUGGUGUAGUUGAAGUGUANGGACUACGUCGACCCCCUCAAGCUCUACCUCCAAAAGUUCCGGGAGAUCGAAGGCGACAAAGCUGGAACUGUUACUGGUGGUAUUGGUG